GACCUGGUGGUGGAGUUGGUACCACGUUUGCUUUCCGUGGUCAAAACUAUUGAAUUUAAGCGGGAUGUCCUCGUUCGAAUCGGGGUCGGGUCA